CGUUUCCUACGGGAGGCAGCAGUGGGGAAUAUUGCACAACGGGGGGAACCCUGAUGCAGCGACGCCGCGUGAGUGAAGAAGUAUUUCGGUAUGUAAAGCUCUCUCAGCAGGGAAGAAGAUGACGGUACCUGACUAAGAAGCCCCGGCUUACUACGUGCCAGCAGCCGCGGUAAUACGUAGAGGGCAAGCGUUAUCCGGAUUUACUGGGUGUAAAGGGAGCGUAGACGGCAGGGCAAGUCUGGAGUGAAAGCCCGGGGCCCAACCCCGGGACCGCUUUGGCAA
rnacentral:rRNA from 1 species